AAACAAACAAGAAAACAACAACAAAAAACACUUCUUAUAGUGCCUAUACAAUGCAAACAUGUAUCCCAAAAUAUAUGAAACUAUUUGCUAUGUCACUCUUAGGUUUACCCCAAAGCACAUAGACCGUUUUCACUGCUCAAGCUGCUGCCUACAAAACAGGAGAUGCCAAGCCAUGCACAGAAAUUCACCAAAAUGCACAGAUUCACCUAUCAAUAUACAUACUUGCCUCACAACUCACACAAACACCACCGAGCACUGAGACUCACCCUAAAUGUACAGACAAGCCCUUCAGGGCACAGACUUACUCUGUAACAUACUAAAUCACAUCCCCCAUACUUAGAUGUGCCUUAUGAUUCACAGUGAUGCGUGUAAACACAUAGAUUGCUUCCACAAUGCACAGAAUUGCAUCAUAACACAGACUUACUCUACAGUGCAAAACUGACAGUGCACAUAAACAUUUCCCAGUCGGCUAGACACACAACACACAUAUUACUCCUACAAUGUAAAGAUUUCCAUCACGGUGGACAGACGUGCUUUUCCAUGCUGUUGAGCUACAACUCUGGCCUACAACAACAGAAAUACAGCUUGUGUAAUAGUUACCAGCAAGGCCUCUAGACCCAUACUAACUGGGUUUGAAUCAAGGUCCCGUCCCUUGCUGAUUGUAUCACCUUGGGAGGAGAUGGAAGAUUGAGAGCAGAGUGCAAGAAUGGGAAGAGGGCUUCGUGCCCUGUGCACGUUUGCCACCUAGUGACCAAACUGAAUGGUGUGCUUCUCACCUCAGCGUGAUAGCCUGACCUUGACUCCUGAGUUCCACGAUCGCUUCACAACUGCAAGUCACCAUCAUACAAAAUUUGAGUUUCCCUAAGUCCGCGCCUUUGAGAGCUUUGGAACGAUAUGCAAGUUCAAGUCACCAUCCUGUUUCUUGCUACCUCCUGUGAGAAGACCAACAUUUGGGUUACACUUGUUUCUACUCUUGUUCUUCUGCUUGUUAUUGUUGCCUCUGCAGCCAUUGAUCACACACGUGUUGUCAUACAAAAACUGGUUAGCCUUUUUAUUUGUCUUGUGAAUUUUAUCAUUUGGUUCUUAAGUAUUACAAAUUAAUAUUGUGUACUCUCAUUGAUAUACAACUUGCAGUCAUUGUAAAUAUGCGUGAGUUAGGGGUGAGAAUGGCAUGCAAGCAAAAGAACAAGGAGAGGGAUGAUAGAGAUGCAAGAAGAGUAAAGAGGGCAAGAAAGUUUAUGUUAAUAGCGAACACAAUGAAAGUUCUUUAAAUGCUUGAUAAUGGUGAAAGCAACACUUCCUAGGGCAUAUUUUUGGUGUUAAUGAACCUACACAUCAUACAAUAAAGAAAAUUGAGAAAGCAGUUGGGGCCAGUGAAUCGGGGGCACACAAGAAUCACUGAGAAAAUCAUACACAACUCAAAAUGCCACAAUAGGGAAAAUAUAAAGAGAUUUGCACUUGUGGCUUCUAAAACAGAGAAGGUUGAAUAGGUCUCUUUCUGUGUGUAAAAUCUGCCAGUGAGCAUCACAAAAAUGCAAAUUUAAAUUUCAAUCUGGAUGGAAAGUUAUAAAAUUCAUUGCAAGUAAUGGGUGGUUGGGUAGGUUUAAGAAAUGCCAGGUGGGUGGAUCACUUGAGGUCUGGAGUUUGCAACUAGCCUGGCCAACAUGGUGAAACCUUGUCUCUACUAAAAAUACAAAAAUUAGCCAGGAUUGGUGGCGGGUACCUGUAAUCUCAGCUACUCAGGAGGCUGAGGCAGGAGAAUCGCUUGAACCUAGGAGGCAGAGGUUGCAGUGAGCUGAGAUCGUGCCAUCGCACUCCAGCCUGGGUGACGAGAGCAAAGCUCUGUCUCAAAAAAAGAAAAGAAGAGAAGAGAAAAGAGAAGAGAAGAAAGAAGAGAAGAGAAGAGAAGAGAAGCUGUGGCCUGUAAUGAAAAGAAGUGGAGAAGUGACUGUCAGAGGAAGCAGAUUAAGGAGCUGCCGGAGAGUAUCCUGAAUACCUGAAGAAGACGAUUGAGGACAAUGGCAAUUUGCCUGAGCAGGUUGUCAGUGCUGCUGAAACUCUGGAAGCAAAUGCCUACUUGCACAUCUAUUGCAAAGCAUGAGAAAAGGACCAGAGGCUUCAAGCCUGGAAAAGACAAACUCAAAGUUCUGCUUUGUUCCAGUGUGUUCUGAUUAAACCCAUGUUGCUUUACAGAUUCCAAAAUUGUUACCUUCUUUAAAGAGAAAGCCAGAAACACUUUUCUGUGUACAUGAAGGGAAACCAUGAAAUAUGGAUCACUGAGAAACUCUUUUUGAACUGGUCUUUGAAGUGUUUUGUUCUGAGGUUAAAUAACAUUUAAAUGAAAAAAAAAUCUUGACUUCACAGUGUUGUGAUUCUGGACACUGCUCCUACAGACAAAAAUGCAGUCAUAAAUGCUGCUCCUUGUGUUCAAGUCAUCUCCAUUACCCCCAGUACGACUCCACUCCUUCAACUCUUGCAUCUGAGAGUGCUAGCGAUGUACUGUGCUCUGCAUGUAUUUUGACUACCUGAAGAUCUUAUCAGAGACACCAGAACUUUACCAUGAAAGUGGCUUGGCAACAUUUCUCCGUUUGUAAUGCUUUAACAGGUGUAGAAGAAUCAGUGAGACAAAUAAAACAAUCAAUACUUAAUGAAGUCUGGCAGAAAUUUUGGAAUGAGGUUGUGACUGAUUUGGAAGGUUUCCUUCCAGUGGUAGAAGAAAUUGAAAAUAUUGUAACAUCUGCAAACCAUUUGAAUAGUGAAGGCCUUGAAGACAUUGAGUUAAGUGACAUUACUGAAUUGUUAGACUCUCACCUUCAAAAGAUAGUUGAGAAAUAUUUUGGAGAUGUGAUCACAUCAAAAGGCAAUAGAAGAAGCCAGCAUAGGUUAACAUCCAGAACUCUAAGAAUGUUCAAGUAUCUACUCCACAAAUGAAAUUGUCACAAUGAUUCAAAAGAAAGAGAUCCUUUGGUGGGCUACAUAUUGACUUUCAGGGGAGAAGAGGUUGACAUUAGGCCAUGUCAUUCAAACCCGUUCUGCAAACAGGAAAACAGGAAGUAGAAACGCCGCACACAGAUAGUUAAACCUUGGGAUUCAGACUCUGAUGGCUCUGAUGAUAUGGUGAUUUGUGUGCUGGGGAUGAAAGAGGAGCAGAAGACUGAGCUUACAUCUCUUCAGACGAAAUGCAAUUUUCUCUAUUCUUUCCCUGUUACUAUUGUUACGACCAAGCAUUUUCAUUGAUCCAUUAUCAUCUUCAUCUUGAGAUCACAAAGGAAGUUAAUUGCCUGAUAUCCAC
rnacentral:lncRNA from 1 species